UACGGAGGGUGCGAACGUUAAUCGGAAUCACUGGGCGUAAAGCGCGCGUAGGCGGUUUGUUAAGUGGGAUGUGAAAUCCCCGGGCUUAACCUGGGAAUUGCAUUUCAAACUGGCCGACUAGAGUACGGUAGAGGGAGGUAGAAUUUCCUGUGUAGCGGUGAAAUGCGUAGAUAUAGGAAGGAAUACCAGUGGCGAAGGCGGCCUCCUGGAUCGAUACUGACGCUGAGGCGCGAAAGCGUGGAGAGCAAACAGG
rnacentral:rRNA from 1 species